AUGGCUGCUCUGAGGUUAUUUAUUUUGUGUGAGUUGGUUGCUAUAGCAUCAGCCGAAAAUUAUCGUUGCUGCCCCUGCGUUCCUUGUACUACUACUGGCCCGACUCCAGUAACACCAGUGAAUCCAACUGGAACUACUCCUACUUUUACUCCAUCUCCUGGCACAACUGUUAGUUCAACUACUUCUACCAGCGCAAAUCCCACAAAAUGCUAGCGCGAAGAUGGUGACGUGCUCCUCAGCAACGUCAGUCUUUUAAGCCUGGAAGGCCAACCCUCGACAGAACCUACCCAGGCUACAAGAUAACCUGCACUAGGUGCUACUCCAUUCUCGGUGCUUUGCAAAAUCUGUUAAACAUCAGCGUUGCUAGAGGUGGAUACUACUGCAGCUCAGUUUUGCUGGAAGUAAAUGUCAGCUUCCUCGGCCUCCUUGGUUGUUGCCAGGUUUACGGCAGAAGGCUUAAGAAGGGCGAAACGAACGGCUGUUCAUAAUUCCAAGAUGCUCAUGUAUAAUAUUGUUGCUUGUCGUGUCUUGUCGCCCUUUGACGACGUCGUCGUCCCCUACGAAUAGUAUGAGAUUUCAUUUUUACGCGACGAAGAGCUUUACAUUUCAAAUCUCGCCACGAACAACUUCACAUUUUAACAGUUGCCGCGAAGAAUAGCUUACUUCACCUUUUUGCCACGAAGACUAUGAGAUUUCACGUUUUUGUCACAAAGACUGGUACAUUUAACGUUUUUUCCGCGAAGACUAACACGUUUCACAUUUUGCCACGAAGACUUACAUAUUUCAUUUUAUUUGCCACGACGACUAUUGCGUUUCGGAGGCAACAUGUUAAAACAGUGAAUCAAUGUUACAUGUUAACAGUAAAUUAAUCAAAAGAGUUUUAAAAAUAAAGUCGAGUUAUGUCUAUAGAAUGAAAUUUUUAAUUUCGAUGAAAUUUUCAAAUUUUUUUCAGUGGAAAAAAAUAAAAAUUUCGUCUGUAAGAGAAAUUUGUGUGGUCAAUAUCCAAGCCAUAAAGCGCUACCAAUUGCCUAAAGCUUACGAAGGAAACAUUCUUUUAAGCGAAAAAAAGCGAAGAUCUUCAGGCAAUGAUACCUUCUCAAUUUCACGAUUUAUAUCACGGAAUUAUAUAAAAAUAAACAAAUUAUUAUUAUAAAUUAUUUUUUAUUAUUCAUUUUAACCCUUUUUUAUUUUAUUGUAUGCACUUUGAUGUUCAUAGAUUUUAUCAGAAUUUGAAAUCUGUUGGUCUUCGUGUCAAAAUCUGAAAUCCGUUAGUUUUUGUGGCGAAAAUGUCAAAUCUCAUAGUCUUCGCGGCAACUAUUGAAAUUCAAUGCUCUUCGUGACAAAGACGUGAACUCUCAUGGUUUUCGUGGCUAGAAAUGAAAUCUGGCAGCUUUUGCGGGGAAUUUGGGAUCUGAUGUUUUUCCUAGGGGGCGACGACGUCUUCGUAUAAGUCACCAUCACUGGGCAACAUUAAAAAGCUUAUUUUGCA